rnacentral:rRNA from 1 species
UACGAAGGGGGCGAGCGUUGUUCGGAAUUACUGGGCGUAAAGGGCGCGUAGGCGGCGACCCAAGUCAGAUGUGAAAGUCCUGGGCUUAACCUGGGGACUGCAUUUGAUACUGGGUUGCCUGAAUUCGGGAGAGGAUAGCGGAAUUCCCAGUGUAGAGGUGAAAUUCGUAGAUAUUGGGAAGAACACCGGUGGCGAAGGCGGCUAUCUGGACCGACAUUGACGCUGAGGCGCGAAAGCGUGGGGAGCAAACAGG